GAUGAACGCUGGCGGCGUGCCUAAUACAUGCAAGUCGAGCGGACGGACGAGAAGCUUGCUUCUCUGAUGUUAGCGGCGGACGUGUGUGUAACACGUGGAUCCCCUACCUAUAAGACUGGGAUAACUUCGGGAAACCGGCGCUAAUACCGGAGAAUAUUUUGAACCGCGUUGUUCAAAGGUAAAAUACGGUGUUUGUGUCAGUUGUAGAUGGAUGCGCGCUUAAUCAGCUAGUUGGUAAAGUAACGGCUUACCAAGGCUAUGAUGGAUAGCCGACCUGAGAGGGUGACCGGCGACAAUGGGACUGAGAGACGGCCCAGACUCCUACGGGCGGCAGCAGUGGGGAGUAUUGCACAGUGGGCGGAAGCCUGAUACGGCGACGCCGCGUGCGGGAUGACGGCCUUCUAGUUGUAAACCGCUUUGGCCUGUAACGUAGCGUGAGUGACGGUAAUGGGUAAAGAAGCACCGGCUAACUACGUG
rnacentral:rRNA from 1 species